rnacentral:rRNA from 1 species
CGUAGGGGGCAAGCGUUGUCCGGAAUCAUUGGGCGUAAAGCGCGUGUAGGCGGCUCGGUAAGUCUGCUGUGAAAGUCCAGGGCUCAACCCUGGGAUGCCGGUGGAUACUGUCGAGCUCGAGUCCGGAAGAGGCGAGUGGAAUUCCUGGUGUAGCGGUGAAAUGCGCAGAUAUCAGGAGGAACACCAAUGGCGAAGGCAGCUCGCUGGGACGUGACUGACGCUGAGACGCGAAAGCGUGAGGAGCAAACAGGAUUAGAUACCCUGGUAGUCCACGCCGUAAACGAUGGGCACUAGGUGUGGGGGGUGUCGACUCCCUCCGUGCCGAAGCUAACGCAUUAAGUGCCCCGCCUGGGGAGUACGGCCGCAAGGCUA